rnacentral:rRNA from 1 species
UAGUGUAUUGGACUACCAUGGCUUUAACGGGUAACGGGGAAUUAGGGUUCGAUUCCGGAGAGGGGGCCUGAGAAAUGGCUACCACUUCUAUGGAAGGCAGCAGGCGGGUAGAUUACCCAAUCCUGAUCCAGGGAGGUAGUGACAAGAAAUAACAACUCGGGUCUCUCUGAGAUUGCGAGAUUGCAAUGAGAACAAUUUAAACCACUUAUCCAGUAACAAUUGGAGGGCAAGUCUGGUGCCAGCAGCCGCGGUAAUUCCAGCUCCAAUAGCGUAUAUUAAAGUUGUUGCAGUUAAAAAGCUGGUAGUUGAAUUUCUGGCUAGCUGUAUGCUGUGGCUCUGCCCGGUAUAUGGUUUAGUCAUCCGUAAGGGAAGCCAGUUCGGCCUUCACUGGUCGGCUGGGGGAACUUACAAUUUACUGUGAGAAAAUUAGAGUGUUUAAGGCAGGCAAUCGCUUGGAUACUCCAGCACGGAAUAAUGGAAUAGGACUUUAGUCGAUUUGUUGGUUUGAGACUAAAGUAAUGAUUAAUAGGGACAGUUGGGGGCAGUCGUAUUUAAUUGUCAGAGGUGAAAUUCUUGGAUUUAUUAAAGACGAACUUAUGCGAAAGCAUUUGCCAAGGAGGUUUUCAUUAAUCAUCAACGAAAGUUAGGGGAUCAAAGACGAUC